rnacentral:rRNA from 1 species
GAUGAACGCUGGCGGCGUGCCUAAUACAUGCAAGUCGAGCGAACCACUUCGGUGGUGAGCGGCGAACGGGUGAGUAACACGUAGGUGAUCUGCCCAUCAGACGGGGACAACGAUUGGAAACGAUCGCUAAUACCGGAUAGGACGAAAGUUUAAAGGUGCUUCUGGCACCGCUGAUGGAUGAGCCUGCGGCGCAUUAGCUAGUUGGUAGGGUAAAGGCCUACCAAGGCGACGAUUCGUAGCCGACCUGAGAGGGUGAACGGCCACACUGGGACUGAGAAACGGCCCAGACUCCGACGGGAGGCAGCAGUAGGGAAUCGUCGUCAAUGGGCGAAAGCCUGACCGAGCAACGCCGCGUGAAUGAUGAGGGCCUUCGGGUCGUAAAAUUCUGUUAUAAGGGAAGAACGACUUUAGUAGGAAAUGGCUAGAGUGUGACGGUACCUUAUGAGAAAGCCACGGCUAACUACGUGCCAGCCGCCGCAGUAA